UGGACCAGUGCGGCUGCGGUGGCAGUCACGCUGGAACCUGCUGAUGGGACACAAGGACCACCAAGGCCGGGGACGCGAUGCUGGCAGCCACCGGAGCCCAAAAGUGAUGCCAAGAUGCAGGUAUCACAGGAACAAGAAGAAAGGUGCUCGCCAAGGAGUACUGCACGUCUGCUGAGAUAAGGGUGAGGAACACGGAGCCCGAGAGCGUCUACAUAUCUUUCCCAACUCCUUCAAAAAGAAAUACGGAAGAUUCUCAGAUGAAAAUAGCUUAUCUUUGCUUUGGGGAAAAGCCAAAACCCAUUAGCUAAUCAAUACCAUUUUACCUUAAGAACAUCUGUGGUUUGUUGGGUCAGAAGGCGUAACCCAAGGAGGCAACACUUUGAGACUGGAGAGUCAUACUUUAAGGAACACAAACACAAAACAUAGCAACGCUUUCGGACGUCAGAUGAUGAGUGGAUGCUGAGGGGAAAACGGCCUUUUCACUGGCCAGGCAGAGCUGAACUGGAGUACACGCUUACAGGAAACACAAAGAAAAGACUUGGAAGAAAGAAAAAUAUUUUCAUGGUUUUCCCAGACAGAUAUUCCAGGCCAAGUGAUAAUGGAGACCAAGGAUAAUAGAGGCAGUUGGGUGACUCACCUUCCCAAACUCUGAACCUAGUGCCCACACAGCAACAGAAAUAUCCUUGAGAGAGAGGAAUAGGCUGCAGUGCCUUCCUGCUGGAAGAAGCAAGCGGGGAUCAGAGGAGACAGU